rnacentral:rRNA from 1 species
GACGAACGCUGGCGGCGUGCCUAACACAUGCAAGUCGAGCGAAGUUAUUCCUUGGGGGAUAACUUAGCGGCGGACGGGUGAGUAACACGUGGGUAACCUGCCUUAUAGAGGGGGAUAGCCUUCCGAAAGGAAGAUUAAUACCGCAUAACAUUGAGCUUUCGCAUGGAAGCUUAAUCAAAGGAGUAAUCCGCUAUAAGAUGGACCCGCGGCGCAUUAGCUAGUUGGUGAGGUAACGGCUCACCAAGGCGACGAUGCGUAGCCGACCUGAGAGGGUGAUCGGCCACAUUGGGACUGAGACACGGCCCAGACUCCUACGGGAGGCAGCAGUGGGGAAUAUUGCACAAUGGGGGAAACCCUGAUGCAGCAACGCCGCGUGAGUGAUGAAGGCCUUCGGGUUGUAAAGCUCUGUCUUUGGGGACGAUAAUGACGGUACCCAAGGAGGAAGCCACGGCUAACUACGUGCCAGCAGCCGCCGUAAAAC